rnacentral:rRNA from 1 species
UACGGAGGAUGCGAGCGUUAUCCGGAUUUAUUGGGUUUAAAGGGUGCGUAGGCGGGCUUUUAAGCCAGCGGUAAAAAUUCGGGGCUCAACCCCGUCCGGCCGUUGAAACUGGGGGUCUUGAGUGGGCGAGAAGAAGGCGGAAUGCGUGUUGUAGCGGUGAAAUGCAUAGAUAUCACGCAGAACCCCGAUUGCGAAGGCAGCCUUCCGGCGCCCUACUGACGCUGAGGCACGAAAGUGCGGGGAUCGAACAGG